AACGAACGCUGGCGGCAUGCCUAACACAUGCAAGUCGAACGAAGGCUUCGGGCUUAGUGGCGCACGGGUGCGUAACGAGUGGGAAUCUGCCCUUUGGUUCGGAACAACAGCUGGAAACGGCUGCUAAUACCGGUUGAUGACGAAAGGCCAAAGAUCUAUCGCCAGAGGAUGAGCCCGCGUUGGAUUAGGUGGUUGGUGGGGUAAAGGCCUACCAAGCCGACGAUCCAUAGCUGGUCUGAGAGGAUGCUCAGCCACACUGGGACUGAGACACGGCCCAGACUCCUACGGGGGGCAGCAGUGGGGAAUAUUAGACGAUGGGCGCAAGCCUGAUCCAGCAAUGCCGCGUGAGUGAUGAAGGCCCUAGGGUUGUAAAUCUCUUUUACCCGGGAAGAUAAUGACUGUACCGGGAGAAUAAGCCCCGGCUAACUACGUG
rnacentral:rRNA from 1 species